rnacentral:rRNA from 1 species
GACGAACCGAGCGAACGUUAUUCGGAAUCACUGGGCUUAAAGGGCGCGUAGGCGGGCGGCCAAGUCAGGGGUGAAAGCCCCCAGCUCAACUGGGGAAGUGCCUCUGAUACUGGUCGCCUCGAGGGAGAUAGGGGCGUGCGGAACUUCCGGUGGAGCGGUGAAAUGCGUAGAUAUCGGAAGGAACACCGGUGGCGAAAGCGGCGCGCUGGAUCUCUUCUGACGCUGAGGCGCGAAAGCCAGGGGAGCGAACGGG